AGUAGUGUAACAGAGAAGUGACAAUACAGAGCUACAAGGAGACUGAGAGACUCAGGGAGGAGCUGAGCUGUUACUGAACUAUAGAAGAGAGAGGAACUUCUAUAUUCAACAGAGAUCAAUACACAAACCAUCAACAUUACCUUUAUUCAACAUGCUGUCACUGCAGCAUUGUGUGAUUUCUCUGAUGUUUCUUUCCAUUCUAACAGGUGUCAACUGUGAAGAACUCACUCCAGUCAAGAAAGAAGAAAAGAGUUUAGAAGGCAGCUCUGUUACUCUGUCCUACAGAUACUCCAAACAAGCUGAUACCAACGAUUAUUUCUUCUGGUAUCGACAAUAUCCAGGAAAACCACCAGAGUUCAUCAUAUUCAUCUCAGGAAUGAACUUUACAAAAAAAGCAGAGUCUCUGACAUUGGACACAAGGUUCUCUACUAAACUGUCUGAAGAAAAGCAUCGUGUGGAUCUGCAGAUCUCCUCUGCUGCAGUGACAGACUCUGCUCUGUACUACUGUGCUGUGAGGCCCACAGUGACAGCAAACCCACAGUCUCUGUACAAAAACACAAGCUGACACACUGACAAGCUGCUGGAAGA